rnacentral:rRNA from 1 species
UACGGGGGGAGCAAGCGUUGUUCGGAAUUACUGGGCGUAAAGGGCUCGUAGGCGGCCAACUAAGUCAGACGUGAAAUCCCUCAGCUUAACUGGGGAACUGCGUCUGAUACUGGAUGGCUUGGAUUCGGGAGAGGAAUGCGGAAUUCCAGGUGUAGCGGUGAAAUGCGUAGAUAUCUGGAGGAACACCGGUGGCGAAGGCGGCAUUCUGGACCGACAUUGACGCUGAGGAGCGAAAGCCAGGGGAGCAAACGGG